GAAAUGCGAUAAGUAAUGUGAAUUGCAGAAUUCAGUGAAUCAUCGAAUCUUUGAACGCACAUUGCGCCCGCCAGUAUUCUGGCGGGCAUGCCUGUCCGAGCGUCAUUUCAACCAUCAAGACCCCGGGCUUGUGUUGGGGACCUGCGGCUGCCCGCAGGCCCUGAAAACCAGUGGCGGGCUCGCUGUCACACCGAGCGUAGUAGCAAUCACCUCGCUCAGGGCGUGCUGCGGGUUCCGGCCGUUAAACAGCCUUACAAAACCCAAGGUUGACCUCGGAUCAGGUAGGAAGACCCGCUGAACUUAAGC
rnacentral:misc_RNA from 1 species